AAAACCUGCACUAAGCCAUGGAACAUCUGUUAAGUUUUAAGUACACAAAAGCAGCUGCUGAAGAAACAGCUUCAGACUGAGAGUGCGAGAACCGACAGCAGCACCGCUAAGCAACCUCCAGUGGAGACAGAGAAGAGAGACGGAUAAGUGCACAGACGCCCACAGGAGUUUCUGUAAGAGACAAAAUUAUCAGCUUGGCUCACCUCAGCUUUAUUUCCUAUUUCCAGACCCCCAGAACUAUUCUAAAAUAAAGGAGAAGGGAUGGAGAACAAGAGACCCAGGACAGCUUGCCAUGGCAAAGACAUUAGGGAUGAGAGAAUGAGGAUGAGAAGACCCAAUUCUUUUGUGGAGAGAACUACAUUCAACAAGGACUCUCAUUUGCUCAGCACAUUCAUGUAAAAUAUAU